rnacentral:rRNA from 1 species
UAUGGAUUGUAAACUGCUUUUAUACNANAAGAAACACUGCUUCGUGAAGCAGCUUGACGGUAUCGUAAGAAUAAGGAUCGGCUAACUCCGUGCCAGCAGCCGCGGUAAUACGGAGGAUCCAAGCGUUAUCCGGAAUCAUUGGGUUUAAAGGGUCCGUAGGCGGUUUAAUAAGUCAGUGGUGAAAGCCCAUCGCUCAACGGUGGAACGGCCAUUGAUACUGUUAAACUUGAAUUAUUAGGAAGUAACUAGAAUAUGUAGUGUAGCGGUGAAAUGCUUAGAGAUUACAUGGAAUACCAAUUGCGAAGGCAGGUUACUACUAAUGGAUUGACGCUGAUGGACGAAAGCGUGGGUAGCGAACA